rnacentral:rRNA from 1 species
AGAGUUUGAUCAUGGCUCAGGAUGAACGCUGGCGGCGUGCCUAACACAUGCAAGUCGAACGUGAGGAAGCAUUUCGGUGUUUCUGAAAGUGGCGAACGGGUGAGUAACACGUGGGUGACCCGCCUCGCAGUGGGGGAUAACCACUGGAAACGGUGGCUAAUACCGCAUGGGUCUUUAGGGUGUGGAGCCUUAAGGAUAAAGCGAUUAGCGCUGCGAGAGGGGCCUGCGGUCGAUUAGUUAGUUGGUGGGGUAAAGGCCUACCAAGGCGAUGAUCGAUAGCUGGUCUGAGAGGAUGAUCAGCCACACGGGAACAGAGACACGGUCCCGACUCCUACGGGGGGCAGCUGUGAGGAAUAUUGCACAAUGGGGGCAACCCUGAUGCAGCAACGCCGCGUGGAGGAUGAAGGUCUUUGGAUUGUAAACUCCUUUUCUUGGGGAAGAGCAAGGACGGUACCCGAGGAAUAAGUCACGGCUAACUACGUGCCAGCAGCCGCGGUAAUACGUAGGUGGCAAGCGUUAUCCGGAAUUACUGGGCGUAAAGCGCACGCAGGCGGUCUUUUAAGUUUGACGUGAAAGCUCCUGGCUUAACUGGGAGAGGUCGUUGAAGACUGGAAGGCUUGAGGCGAUGAGAGGGGUGUGGAAUUCCCGGUGUAGUGGUGGAAUGCGUAGAUAUCGGGGGGAACACCAGUGGCGAAAGCGGCACCCUGGCAUUGGCCUGACGCUCAUGUGCGAAAGCGUGGGGAGCGAACGGGAUUAGAUACCCCGGUAGUCCACGCUGUAAACGAUGAGCACUAGGUGUAGGCAGUGUGAAAGCUGUCUGUGCCGAAGUCAACACGCUAAGUGCUCCGCCUGGGGAGUACGGCCGCAAGGCUAAAACUCAAAUGAAUUGACGG